AGAGUUUGAUCCUGGCUCAGGAUGAACGCUGGCGGCGUGCCUAAUACAUGCAAGUCGAGCGAACAGACGAGGAGCUUGCUCCUCUGACGUUAGCGGCGGACGGGUGAGUAACACGUGGAUAACCUACCUAUAAGACUGGGAUAACUUCGGGAAACCGGAGCUAAUACCGGAUAAUAUAUUGAACCGCAUGGUUCAAUAGUGAAAGACGGUUUUGCUGUCACUUAUAGAUGGAUCCGCGCCGCAUUAGCUAGUUGGUAAGGUAACGGCUUACCAAGGCAACGAUGCGUAGCCGACCUGAGAGGGUGAUCGGCCACACUGGAACUGAGACACGGUCCAGACUCCUACGGGAGGCAGCAGUAGGGAAUCUUCCGCAAUGGGCGAAAGCCUGACGGAGCAACGCCGCGUGAGUGAUGAAGGUCUUCGGAUCGUAAAACUCUGUUAUUAGGGAAGAACAAAUGUGUAAGUAACUAUGCACGUCUUGACGGUACCUAAUCAGAAAGCCACGGCUAACUACGUGCCAGCAGCCGCGGUAAUACGUAGGUGGCAAGCGUUAUCCGGAAUUAUUGGGCGUAAAGCGCGCGUAGGCGGUUUUUUAAGUCUGAUGUGAAAGCCCACGGCUCAACCGUGGAGGGUCAUUGGAAACUGGAAAACUUGAGUGCAGAAGAGGAAAGUGGAAUUCCAUGUGUAGCGGUGAAAUGCGCAGAGAUAUGGAGGAACACCAGUGGCGAAGGCGACUUUCUGGUCUGUAACUGACGCUGAUGUGCGAAAGCGUGGGGAUCAAACAGGAUUAGAUACCCUGGUAGUCCACGCCGUAAAC
rnacentral:rRNA from 1 species